rnacentral:rRNA from 1 species
AUGGCCGAGUCCGGCAUUACACCCACGAAGACAACCUAUAAUAUCAUCCUCAAAGGCUUCUUCCGUGCUGGGCAGAUACAGCACGCAUGGAACUUCUUCCUCCAAAUGAAGAAGAGGGGGGCCAAGGACGUGAGCUGUAAGCCGGACAUCGUAUCGUACACUACCAUCAUUCAUGGGUUGGGUGUUGCUGGGCAGCUAGACAAAGCUUGCAAACUGUUCGAUGAAAUGUCUAAAGAAGGUUGCACGCAGUCCGUGGCAACUUACAAUGCGCUUAUCCAGGUGAUAUGUAAGAAGGGGAAUGUGGAGGAGGCAGUCACAGUGUUUGAUGAUAUGGUUCGACAGGAUUACGUGCCAAAUGUGGUCACCUAUACCGUCUUGAUUCGAGGUCUCUGCCAUGCUGGGAAGAUUGACCGAGCUAUGAAGCUCAUGGAGAGAAUGAAAGAUGAAGGCUGUGAGCCAGUCGUUCAGACAUAUAAUGUUUUAGUAAGAUAUUCAUUUGAGGAAGGGGAGAUCGAGAAGGCCUUGUGUUUGUUUGAGAGGAUGAGUAAAGGAGAGGACUGCCUGCCUAACCAAGAUACAUACAAUAUCAUAAUAAGUGCAAUGUUUGUGCGCAAGAGGGCUGAGGACAUGGCAACGGCGGCGAGGAUGGUGAUGGAGAUGGUGGAGAGAGGCUACUUGCCUAGAAGGUUCAUGCUCAACCGCGUUCUGAAUGGGUUGAUGUUGACAGGGAAUCAGCAAAUUUCUAGAGAUCUGUUGAGAAUGCAAGAGAAAUAUAGACGCCUGCGACGAGAAAUAAGAUUGUGA